rnacentral:rRNA from 6 species
CUUACGCUUCACGGCGUUUUCGACGAGAGAAGUCAUCCAAACCUCAUGAUUUAGAGGAAGGUGAAGUCGUAACAAGGUUUCCGUAGGUGAACCUGCGGAAGGAUCAUUA